CCUACGGGUGGCAGCAGUGAGGAAUAUUGGUCAAUGGCCGGAAGGCUGAACCAGCCAUGCCGCGUGAAGGUCAGUGCCCUAUGGGCGUUAAACUUCUUUUGUGCGGGAGCAAUAAUGGUCACGUGUGGCCAGACGAGAGUACCGUACGAAUAAGCAUCGGCUAACUCCGUGCCAGCAGCCGCGGUAAUACGGGGGAUGCAAGCGUUAUCCGGAUUUAUUGGGUUUAAAGGGUGCGUAGGCUGUGAGGUAAGUCAGCGGUGAAAUGCCCCCGCUCAACGGGGUGAAGUGCCAUUGAUACUGGCAGUCUUGAGUACAGUUGAGGUAGGCGGAAUUCGUGGUGUAGCGGUGAAAUGCUUAGAUAUCACGAAGAACUCCGAUUGCGAAGGCAGCUUACUAAACUGCCACUGACAUUGAUGCUCGAAAGUGUGGGUAUCAAACAGGAUUAGAUACCCGUGUAGUC
rnacentral:rRNA from 1 species